rnacentral:tRNA from 1 species
GUAGGUAUGCCAGAUUAAUUGGGUUUGAUUUAGGUUCAUUUUAUAGAUUUAUUUCUUGCUUACU